rnacentral:rRNA from 1 species
GGUUGAUCCUGCCAGUAGUCAUAUGCUUGUCUCAAAGACUAAGCCAUGCAAGUCUAAGGAUAAAUACUCAUUUACCGUAAACCUGCGAACGGCUCAUUAAAUCAGUUAUAAUUUAUUUGAUUAUACAUCCUAUUUGGAUAACCGUAGUAAUUCUAGAGCUAAUACAUGCAAAAAAUUUUGACAGAAGCAAUUCUGAAAGAACGUACUUAUUGGAUAAAAAUCAAUACAAAGUAUCCCAAACUACAUCUUAUUUCGAUUUGAUGUGGGCUUUGUUUCUUAUUUUGAAAAAUGAU